rnacentral:tRNA from 1 species
GAGGGUAUAACUCAAGUGGCAGAGCACAUGCCUGGCAUGCACAAGGCCCUGGGUUCAACCCCAGUACCUCCA